AAAAAUUCACAAUUCCUAUUAGCGUUGGUGUAUAAAUUUAAUUCAAAAAUGCACAUAAAAUGAAUACUGACUAAUGACCACUUUUGAACCACUCGGCCUAGUUAUGGCAUCACAAAGGACUUGAGAGUUAGAUGCAGAUCCCUCUAAACUAGGCAAUACAAAUAUAAACUGCAUGUCGUGUGAGCAAACAACCAACACAUUUGUUGCAAUUUCACCCUUCCUGGUUCAAUAUAUUGGUUUAUUAGUGUCAUCACACGAACUUUAAUAUAAGUUCUAUCAAGCGCUCCUAAGAAAUUCUAUGAAAAAAAAGUUACCUUUAAUUAAAUUCUAAAAAUUUCAAAAGAAGACAAAGAAACUUACUAUAAUUUCUCCAAAUUUCCAACACAUAAUAUACAUGCCUUAAAACAUUUCCAUCUAUACUCUAUGCAGGUCUCACCCACAAGUUCCUGAACUCUCAAUAGGCUACCUUGCAAUCUUAAAAUUCUUUGCAACACAAAGUUGAAGCACCAACUUAUGGUCUCACCCGAUCGAAUAAACCUACUUCUAUAAUAGUACGACAUGUGCAAGUACAUGUAAGAAUAUACACACUUGCUCCUCCAAAGUCACCAAACCAUUAUUUUUAACUCUUCCAUUAGCGUGACACAACUCACAUAAUAUACCAAGCGUCCUUAAAUCUAUUCUUAAUUCGCUCACACACUACAUCAUUCUCCAAUAUAUUGUUUAGAUAAUACAACUGAAUGUUACGUGUAAGAAAGGAACGAUUAUUAAGGUUGUUGCGUCUUUCUAUAAGUCAUUGAUUCCUCCUAUUUUGAACAUCAUAAGCCCAAGGAUCGUGCAAGGACAGAUUGUCUCUAAAUGCCACAUCUCCAGUAGUAAUAUCAACAAAAGCUUUCUUCGAUCCAUAUCUAAUAAAUCAUAUAAACCAACAAAAAUUAAGCAUGUAUAGUUUUAUAUGUCUAGUUGAUAUAUAUACAAAUCAACAAAGUAUCUACAUGUGCCAAUGACCAUGAAAAAAAAAAACCAGUACCCAACAAAGUACAGGUAAAUUUGUUCAAUAUUUUUUGUAGUCUAAUAUGAUAUAAUGAGAAGAUUAUUGGUUGGAUGGGAAUGCUAAUUAAACAUAUUAUACGAUGACUUAGGUUUGUAGAUUGCAUAUUCGUUUACAUUCAAAAUAAUUUGUUGGUUGAUUCAUAAACCAAUAAUUUGUAAUGUACACUUCUCUUUGAAAAAACCAGACAUGCCUUGCAAAAUUUAAAAAUUAAAAUUCAAAAAAAAAAGAAAAAAAAGAAACAACUAAACAAGGGCUCCAAUUCCACCCAUCAAUUUGUUCAUAUCUUCUCUUUCCAAACAAAAAACCCCAUAAUCAAAAUAAUUCAAAAUUGAAAACCC
rnacentral:lncRNA from 1 species